GCCUCAGUUAUCUUGUAUGUUAGUCCAUUGGAAUAUCAUGCUACUUAUAUCAACUAAUUUGUUAUUGGUUUAGUUGCCAAGUUUCUUUCCCAGUAAUUGGGCAUGCAACCAAUUUGCACAUGUUGUAAGACACUUAUACAUUGCACAUCUUGUUUGCCAUCAUUCCAUGAUGCAGAUAUGUUUUUGUUCGAUAGUUAAUUAACUUGAACAAAAAGGGUUGUGUACAUAGUGUUGUUGCUUGUAUACAAGCAGUAUCUUAUUUCGGGUAAGUAGCUUAACAUGGAACAAAGCAUAGUUCUUGAUAAGCUACUGAUGUACUUGGUGCUACCACAAUCCAUUGAGUAAUUAACAUAGUGAGCAUGUGCUCUGAUAAAUGAUUUGCUUGGAUUUAUUUUGUUCUUUUAUCAUCUUCACAUCUUCUAAUUCAACAUGUAAAGAUAGUUAGUAAUCCGCUCUGGUUUUUUUGAUAAUUGCUUAUGAUCUUGUCAGUUUUUUACUUUUGGGAUUUACUUAUCCACUCUCCCAUUUCGUGAAGCAGUUUCUAUGCCUGGUUCACUGAAACCCAACAGAAAAAUCUUUCAGAGGGGUUCUAUGAUGUGGUGGCUGGGAUUAUAAAUGAAAAUUUAUGAUCUGAUCCCUUGAAAUACUUCAACAAUCAUCGCGAAAAGCAGGGGAAAGAAAGACAAACCAUGCAAUGGCUAGCCACAUUUGUUGGUGCAGGAAGCUAACGAGGAAGAUUUUGAUGUAGAUGAAAAUGAUGAGGCUUUUAGUUAAAUUUGAUGAAGAUGAAGGGUUAUCACUCGUUUGUUUAUGUUGUUCUUUUACCACCACUGGGUCAUAGAUUAUUUGAUGAUCUAUUUGCCAUAGAGGAAUGGAACUCGACAAGCCAAAAGGUGAAGGUGAACUUUGGCUGCUUAGAUUUUAUGAACGGCUGGAGAAGGGCCAGAGCACAUCUUUUGCAUCGACCUUGUUCUUUUCCUUAUCUAUUGCCUGGCCUAAACUAAAGAAGAAGAGAACGUGAAGUCUCAGAACUCUUAUCAGUUCAUAAAUCAGACCGUUUGGUGCACAUCCAGGUCAUGUCUCUCCUCCAUGCCCCAAACCCGUCCUCUUCACGCCUCGGACAUCGUGCGUACGGCCAACCGAUCCAUGAAGAGCGUCACCGAUCGAUUCAUUGAUGCAGAGACAAGCCGACCGUGACACAGAGAAAGCUCACCAUCAUCGUCACCGUGACGACCCACGGCACUGCUUGCUGUACAUUGUACUUCGUUCGAAGUAUUCUGAGGUCUUGCUGUUCAAACGUACGGGGCUGCGAAGUCAGAGAUGACACCUUCCACCGUACCAUGUGGAUCUACCAGAAGACAUUCCAUGGAAAAAGAUGUCUUUUUAUGUACCAUUAGAAUGAACAGAAUCAUGGGAGCUACUUUGUGCUCUCUUUUUCUGGGCUUACUUAGGAUGGUCAAAUGGCCUACUCAAGAAGACUGCUUUGUGCUCUCGUUGGGGGUAAAAAUAACAUUUAGAGUUCCCGAUUAGAAGGGGUUUCUGAUGCUAGACAUCAAAUGCGAGCUGAUGAAGGUAUUUGUGUCUUCCAGGAACAUGGUUUGUGCAUUUUUGCUAGUUAUUAGCCAGAUGUAAACUAAAUCAAGUGGAUCUUCUAAUCCUUCUUUACCAUGUAUUUCUAUUUCCACCAAUAAUCUUAAAGAUUUGAUUCCUAAUUGCA